GUGCAGCAGUCGCGAAACCUCCGCAAUACACGAAAGUGUGACGGGGCCAUCCCGAGUGCCGUCCGCUGAGGACGGCUUUUCCCCAGUGUACACAGCUGGGGGAAUAAGGAGAGGGCAAGCCUGGUGUCAGCCGCCGCGGUAAUACCAGCUCUCCGAGUGGUGGGGACGCUUAUUGGGCCUAAAGCAUCCGUAGCCGGCUGGGCAAGUCCUCCGUUAAAUCCAACGAUUCAAUCGUUGGGCUGCGGGGGAUACUGUCCAGCUUGGGGGCGGGAGAGGCCGACGGUAUUCCCCGGGGUAGGGGUGAAAGUCCUAUAAUCCCGGGAGGACCACCAGUGGCGAAGGCUGUCGGCUAGAACGCGCCCGACGGUGAGGGAUGAAAGCUGGGGGAGCGAACCGGAUUAGAUA
rnacentral:rRNA from 1 species